UCAAAUCCAGCCCACAGCAAAGAACCUAGCACAUUUUAAGUGCCCUGCUGAGAACCAUUACAGCUUAUAGCCCUGAGGGUGCAGGCCGUCGCGUCAGCAGCAGACACAAUUCAGACCUCAAUUAUCUUCAGAUCCAUCUUUGUCGCUGACAAUUUUAUGUGCACAUCGGUAAUUGUGAAGAAAUUAAUGCAAUGGAGAGCUUGGGGAAAGGACGGGCAGUGCAGAUCAUUUUGAAUUCACCUGCACCUGCAAUAAUUCUCAUUCUACGGAGAAAGUACAGUGGUUAUUUGUGGUAGCAAUGUUGCUAAUUGGAGUCCAGUAAAGGAUAAACGAGUGGAUAAAACCCAAGUAAGUACUACUUCUGUUUGAAUCAUGGUGAUAAAAAUACUGUUUAUGCAGUUUUUUCCAUUAAUGUGUGAAUCCAUUUAACAUCUUAAGCUUGAAACAUCAUUUUCCAUUACAGCAAUUAUAGGUUAUGAAAAAUGUACAUUUUAGUGUCCCAUAACAUUCACUCAAUGAUAUUAUCUGCACAUCCACAUGGAAUAUUUGGACAAAAGGUUCAGAAGGAAGUCAUCUGAAUUUCUUGAAGCUCACGAGAAGAAAAAACUUAAAGUAUG
ensembl:lncRNA